GAUGAACGCUGGCGGCGUGCUUAACACAUGCAAGUCGAACGGAAACGCUCCUGCUUGCAGGGGUACUCGAGUGGCGAACGGGUGAGUAACACGUGGGCGAUCUGCUCUGCACUUUGGGAUAAGCCUGGGAAACUGGGCCUAAUACCGGAUCGGACGCUAGUUUGGAUGCCAUUCUGGAAAGUUUUGCGGCAUGGGAUGAGCUGGCGGCCUAUCACCUUGUUGGUGGAGUACUGGCCUACCAAGGAGUAGACGGGUAGCCGGCCUGAGAGCUGGUACGGGGUCAUGGGGCCUACGAGAGGGAGCAGUCUCCUAUGGUAGGCAAUAGGGGUAAAUAUUGCACAAUGAGCCCGAGUGGGUGGAGGAGGCGUUGGGGUGGGGAUGACGUCCUUCGGGUUGUGAACACCUUUCGCUAGGUACGAAGCGCUAGUGACGGUACCUGGAGAAGAAGCACCGGCUAACUACGUG
rnacentral:rRNA from 1 species